rnacentral:rRNA from 1 species
AGACGUCUACAUUAGAUACCCCUGUAGUCCCAGCCCUAAACGAUGCGCGUUAGGUGUAUCGGUGACCACGAGUCACCGAGGUGCCGAAGGGAAACCGUGAAACGUGCCGCCUGGGAAGUACGGUCGCAAGACUGAAACUUAAAGGAAUUGGCGGGGAGCACCACAACGCGUGGAGCCUGCGGUUUAAUUGGACUCAACGCCGGGAAGCUCACCGGAUAAGACAGCGGAAUGAUUGCCGGGCUGAAGACCCUGCAUGACCAGCUG